rnacentral:RNase_P_RNA from 1 species
CGAGAAAAUCGGCUUGUUGAUUCUUUUUUAUAAAAGGGUAGGAAAGUCCGGACACCAAAGAGCAACAUAAAGGCUAACGACCUUCCAUAGCAAUAUGAGGACAAGUGCAACAGAAAGCAAGUACAGUUCGGCUGUAGUGAAACCAGGUAAACUCUAUGUGGUGCAAUGCUAAGUAUAUCAUCAGUUAAGGAUGGCUCGUCCGUUGAUGAGGGGUAAGCAGCUAGAUUGUAUUGGUAACAAUGCAGCCAGAUAAAUAACAAGCACCCCAAAUAACAUUUGGGGUACAGAAUCCGGCUUAUAGAUUUUCUCGUUAU